AGAGUUUGAUCAUGGCUCAGAUUGAACGCUGGCGGCAGGCCUAACACAUGCAAGUCGAGCGGUAGCACAGAGAGCUUGCUCUCGGGUGACGAGCGGCGGACGGGUGAGUAAUGUCUGGGAAACUGCCUGAUGGAGGGGGAUAACUACUGGAAACGGUAGCUAAUACCGCAUAACGUCGCAAGACCAAAGUGGGGGACCUUCGGGCCUCAUGCCAUCAGAUGUGCCCAGAUGGGAUUAGCUAGUAGGUGGGGUAACGGCUCACCUAGGCGACGAUCCCUAGCUGGUCUGAGAGGAUGACCAGCCACACUGGAACUGAGACACGGUCCAGACUCCUACGGGAGGCAGCAGUGGGGAAUAUUGCACAAUGGGCGCAAGCCUGAUGCAGCCAUGCCGCGUGUGUGAAGAAGGCCUUCGGGUUGUAAAGCACUUUCAGCGGGGAGGAAGGCGUUAAGGUUAAUAACCUUGGCGAUUGACGUUACCCGCAGAAGAAGCACCGGCUAACUCCGUGCCAGCAGCCGCGGUAAUACGGAGGGUGCAAGCGUUAAUCGGAAUUACUGGGCGUAAAGCGCACGCAGGCGGUCUGUCAAGUCGGAUGUGAAAUCCCCGGGCUCAACCUGGGAACUGCAUUCGAAACUGGCAGGCUAGAGUCUUGUAGAGGGGGGUAGAAUUCCAGGUGUAGCGGUGAAAUGCGUAGAGAUCUGGAGGAAUACCGGUGGCGAAGGCGGCCCCCUGGACAAAGACUGACGCUCAGGUGCGAAAGCGUGGGGAGCAAACAGGAUUAGAUACCCUGGUAGUCCACGCCGUAAACGAUGUCGAUUUGGAGGUUGUGCCCUUGAGGCGUGGCUUCCGGAGCUAACGCGUUAAAUCGACCGCCUGGGGAGUACGGCCGCAAGGUUAAAACUCAAAUGAAUUGACGGGGGCCCGCACAAGCGGUGGAGCAUGUGGUUUAAUUCGAUGCAACGCGAAGAACCUUACCUGGUCUUGACAUCCACAGAACUUUCCAGAGAUGGAUUGGUGCCUUCGGGAACUGUGAGACAGGUGCUGCAUGGCUGUCGUCAGCUCGUGUUGUGAAAUGUUGGGUUAAGUCCCGCAACGAGCGCAACCCUUAUCCUUUGUUGCCAGCGGUNCGGCCGGGAACUCAAAGGAGACUGCCAGUGAUAAACUGGAGGAAGGUGGGGAUGACGUCAAGUCAUCAUGGCCCUUACGACCAGGGCUACACACGUGCUACAAUGGCAUAUACAAAGAGAAGCGACCUCGCGAGAGCAAGCGGACCUCAUAAAGUAUGUCGUAGUCCGGAUUGGAGUCUGCAACUCGACUCCAUGAAGUCGGAAUCGCUAGUAAUCGUAGAUCAGAAUGCUACGGUGAAUACGUUCCCGGGCCUUGUACACACCGCCCGUCACACCAUGGGAGUGGGUUGCAAAAGAAGUAGGUAGCUUAACCUUCGGGAGGGCGCUUACCACUUUGUGAUUCAUGACUGGGGUGAAGUCGUAACAAGGUAACCGUAGGGGAACCUGCGGUUG
rnacentral:rRNA from 1 species